AACAGAAGCUCCAAUUUCUCAUUUCUUCAGUGUUGAAACAAUCUCUGGUGAGCUAAGUCCCAAGUCAUGUUCACUGGAGUUUGUUUCAACACUGUAUGAAUGAUUAAAUUUAUGCAAGUGUCA
rnacentral:pre_miRNA from 15 species